UGGGGAAUAUUGGACAAUGGGCGGAAGCCUGAUCCAGCCAUGCCGCGUGUGUGAAGAAGGCCUUUUGGUUGUAAAGCACUUUAAGCGAGGAGGAGGCUACUUAGAUUAAUACUCUAGGAUAGUGGACGUUACUCGCAGAAUAAGCACCGGCUAACUCUGUGCCAGCAGCCGCGGUAAUACAGAGGGUGCGAGCGUUAAUCGGAUUUACUGGGCGUAAAGCGUGCGUAGGCGGCUGAUUAAGUCGGAUGUGAAAUCCCUGAGCUUAACUUAGGAAUUGCAUUCGAUACUGGUCAGCUAGAGUAUGGGAGAGGAUGGUAGAAUUCCAGGUGUAGCGGUGAAAUGCGUAGAGAUCUGGAGGAAUACCGAUGGCGAAGGCAGCCAUCUGGCCUAAUACUGACGCUGAGGUACGAAAGCAUGGGGAGCAAACA
rnacentral:rRNA from 1 species